GAUGAAGAACGUAGCGAAAUGCGAUAAGUAAUGUGAAUUGCAGAAUUCAGUGAAUCAUCGAAUCUUUGAACGCACAUUGCGCCCCCUGGUAUUCCGGGGGGCAUGCCUGUCCGAGCGUCAUUACAACCCUCAAGCUCAGCUUGGUGUUGGGCCCCGCCGCGCCGGCGGGCCCUAAAGUCAGUGGCGGUGCCGUCCGGCUCCGAGCGUAGUAAUUCUUCUCGCUCUGGAGGUCCGGUCGUGUGCUCGCCAGCAACCCCCAAUUUUUUUCAGGUUGACCUCGGAUCAGGUAGGGAUACCCGCUGAACUUAAGCAUAUCAAUAAGCGGAGGA
rnacentral:misc_RNA from 1 species